rnacentral:rRNA from 1 species
CCACAUGAAGUUGGAGUUGCUAGUAAUCGCGGAUCAGCAUGCCGCGGUGAAUACGUUCCCGGGCCUUGUACACACCGCCCGUCACACCAUGGGAGUUGGGAGCGCCCGAAGCCGGUGAGGUAACCGCAAGGAGCCAGCCGUCGAAGGUGAGACCAAUGACUGGGGUGAAGUCGUAACAAGGUACC